AAGAUAAACUAUUGUACAUAUAUAUAUAGUAGUUGGAUAUCUUCUUAGGUCUGGGAAAUAUCAAUUCUAAAUAACAGCAACUCUUGGUCCUGUGGUUUUUAAAAUAGGUUUGUGGCAGACAAACCAUAAGGUAACCCCCAAUAUUUUCUUGUCUACUAGUGUUUACACCUUUGUCUAUUCUCCUCCCCUUGUGUGCACACAGUACCUGUGACUUCCAACCAAUAGCAAAUUCUAAACAAUGGCAGAGGUGAUGGAAUGUCAUUCACUUGAUUAGGUUAUGUUAUGUGACCAAAAGUCACUUCUAUGAUUAUAUCAUGUUAUAUAAGACUCUAUCUUAUAUCAGACUGGAGGAAGAAACUCAUUGCUGGUUUGACAAUGUAAGCAGUUAUGUUGGGGAGACACAUGGGAAACAGGAACUGUGUGCAUCAUUUAGGACCUGAGGGCAGUCUCCUGCUGGCAGCCAGCAAAAUGUCUGGAAAUUUGGUUAUAUAUAGCCACAAGAACAUGAAUUCUGCCAACAAUCUGAAUGAACUUGGAAGUAUAUUCUUUCCCUAACUAUUCCUCCAGAUGAGAACCCAGCCCAGCCAACACCUUGAUUACAGUCUUGUGAGACCCUAAGCAGAGGAGGCAGCUAAGCUGUCCCAGAUCCUUGGCCAACACAUAACACGAUAUAAAAAAUGCGGUGAUAUCAUCAAUUGAAUUUCCCCAGUAUAAUCAGAAUCUAUUACACCUGGUAAUACUGUAAUACCUGCCAUUGAUGUUGAACUCCUUCCUAAUAUGAGCCCCAAGACCCCUUCAGGUCCCUGUUCGGGCGCCACUUGUCGGAAUCCUGCUCCAACAGGAUCCAGGAUACCCCAAAAGGAUGGACAGCAUCAGCGAUGAACAACAGGAAGGAGACUGAGACUCGUGGACUCAGCCAAGUAAAAAUAGCACCAUCUCGUCCUUUCUUUAUUUCAUAUAUAUAGAUUACAGUAGAAUUACAUAAAUCAUUAACAUACAUUGUAAUACUAUUGUUUUGAGUCGAAAGAAUGAAUCAUUUUGAAUCCACAAAGAUUUCCUUAAAAGAUUACGUAAACCAUACCUUUUAGUUUCUAGAUUUUCUCAUAAGAUAAAUUCCAAGGUUACCAUUACGUACAGUACAUGUUCUAAGAAUUAUUCUUGGUGGUUAACCAACCUUAACACCUAAGUCUAAAUAUAUCCUUAUAUUCUAUAUAUCCCUAGCCCCCACGUAGCUUUUCCUACAUGGACAUUCCUUUUUUAUAAUGUCAUUAAAAUAUCUAAAAUAUAUUUUACAAUUUCUAUUUUGAAUAUUGCUACUCAAAGGCAAUUUAAUAUAGCAACAAACAAUAUUAGGAUCCCAAUAAUCUAUUAAAGAAUAACUUUCCAAAUCAUUUCUAUUUGUCCCUAAUCUAGAACAUAUCUGUUCACCAGUUAAUUGAUCAAAUAUCAUUAAACUACCAUUAAUAUUGAACCACAAAUUAUUAUUAUCAUCAUAAACACCCUCAUAUGGCCAUAUCUCUAGGGAGGAUGGUGUUUUCCAAAGAAACAUUUCCCUAUGUCCAGAUUUAGUCACUGUUUCCCAAUGUCCCUCUUUAGGCACCGGGCCUUGCCAUACAGUACUCAAAGGGGGAGUCAGGGUAGUUUUUCUUCAUCUAGGAAAUCUAAGAUUUUUCCUUGGGGCACAUCCUGCCACACUUAAAUUUACAUAUAUAGAAAUUAUAAGUAUUGCUUUUACGAGGAGUGUAGUCCACCUUCCACGUGCGGUUCCGCCUUGCAGUUCCACACUGGCGCGCCCCAUGACCUUGUCAUGGCGUUGCAGCGUCUGGAUGGCUUCCAACAGUAUGGUAUUACACUGCCUUCUGUCUUCUAUGUUGUUUUAUUUGCACUUUGUAUGUAGUUUAUUCAAGAAAAACAACAUGAAAUGCUAAUUAAUAAACUCCUACCCAAAGAAAAGAUUUUUAAGAAUAAAUGAUAUAGUUUUGAACAUA